rnacentral:snRNA from 1 species
GUUCUGUUGCGAUAGAACAUUUGCUAAAAUUGGAACGAUGCAGAAAAGAUAAGCAUGGCCUCUGCAUGAUAACAAUAGGUCGCGAGGGAUAGCUUCCGCCCUCAUUAAAACCUUUUU